AUUGAACGCUGGCGGCAUGCCUUACACAUGCAAGUCGAACGGUAACGGGCCUUCGGGUGCCGACGAGUGGCGAACGGGUGAGUAAUGCAUCGGAACGUACCUUUCGGUGGGGGAUAACGUAGCGAAAGUUACGCUAAUACCGCAUAUUCUGUGAGCAGGAAAGCAGGGGAUCGCAAGACCUUGCGCUGACUGAGCGGCCGGUGUCAGAUUAGCUAGUUGGUGAGAUAAAGGCACACCAAGGCGACGAUCUGUAGCGGGUCACAGAGGAUGAAGCGUCACACUUGAACUGAGGCACGGUCCAGAAACAUACGGGGGGAAGCAGUGGGGAAUUUUGGACUAUUGGGGCAACCCUGAUGCAGCAAUACCGGGUGAGUGAAGAAGGCCUUCGGAUUGUAAAGCGCUUUCGGCCAAGAAGAAAUAGUAUGGGCUAAGACCCUAUGCGGAAGACGGUACCGGCAUAAGAAGCACCGGCUAACUACGUGCCAGCAGCCGCAGUAAUAC
rnacentral:rRNA from 1 species